CCUACGGGUGGCUGCAGUGGGGAAUAUUGGGCAAUGGGCGCAAGCCUGACCCAGCAACGCCGCGUGAAGGAAGAAGGCUUUCGGGUUGUAAACUUCUUUUAAGAGGGAAGAGCAGAAGACGGUACCUCUUGAAUAAGCCACGGCUAACUACGUGCCAGCAGCCGCGGUAAUACGUAGGUGGCAAGCGUUGUCCGGAUUUACUGGGUGUAAAGGGCGUGCAGCCGGGAAGACAAGUCAGAUGUGAAAUCCCGCGGCUCAACCGCGGAACUGCAUUUGAAACUGUUUUUCUUGAGUACCGGAGAGGUCAUCGGAAUUCCUUGUGUAGCGGUGAAAUGCUUAGAUAUAACGUAGAACUCCGAUAGCGAAGGCAGCUUACCAGACUGCGACUGACGCUGAAGCACGAGAGCGUGGGUAGCGAACAGGAUUAGAUACCCGGGUAGUC
rnacentral:rRNA from 1 species